CAAACACACACAGAUCACAACCUUAAUUUCAAAACUCUAUGAUGUGUUUGCUUGUGUUAUCUUUGACUGAUAUUUAAAUGGGUUUGAUGAUCUGACACAUUAAAGUGUGACAAACUUGAACAAAGUAGGAAAUCUCUAAGGGGCAAACACUUUUUCACACCACUGCAUACACAGUACAACCAGUACAGAAACAAAUAUCCUAUUCUUAAAAUAUAGCACAUGUUUGUGUAAAAUUGUAAGAAUUAUUUUGACAUUUGAAAUGAGUUUCUGAAUUAAUCUAAAAUUGGAGAUAAUUGUUGAUGUAUAUUAUUAUUUUGUUCCAUGUUUUUGUGUGGAAUAGAUACAGUAAACUAAAUUACAUUAUUUUUUUAUAACAUCUGUUAUUUUCUACACUAAGAUUGUGACGAUCUGAAGAGAUGUGUAAUUGAACAGAUGACACUAUGUGGUCAUGGUCCACCGCAUUUACAUGCAGAUAGUAAGGAAGGAUUGCCCCCCCCCCCCCCCCCCCAUUCAUGAAAGAUGAGCAUUUAGAUAUCACAAAGAACGUAGUGUCAACCAGAAGGUCAUCACACAGCCUUUUAACAGAAAGGACUGUUGCCAUAAGGCCAGUGGAUUCCUCAUCAACAAGACAAUCACAGACACAAGAAAGAAAAAGACCAUGAGAAACAACACAAACACCUGAGAGGCCAGAACACAGAGAAGACACGAAAAUACAAUCGAGAAGAUGCCACACUUUGUAAUGAGAAGCACUACUGCUUACAACAGGUUUACUGAGAUUAAACAUGGACAAAGUUUUAUCUUAAAUUGAGUGAAUUAUUAUUACACUUAUUUGCAUACAAUUACAGUUUUGCCUCAUACUUUGGAGCCAUCUGGAAGAAUUUUCAUUUUAGUGAAAUUCUAUAAUUAAGUUGAGCUCUAUUGCCUUUUCUCUACACGUGUGGACAUACACUGCAAUGAAAUAUCAUGUCUCGCAGUGCUACAUAAAUAAACAAUCAUAUAUGAACACAA